CCUACGGGAGGCAGCAGUGGGGAAUUUUGGACAAUGGGCGCAAGCCUGAUCCAGCAAUGCCGCGUGAGUGAAGAAGGCCUUCGGGUUGUAAAGCUCUUUUGUCAGGGAAGAAACGGUGGGAGCUAAUAUCUCCUACUAAUGACGGUACCUGAAGAAUAAGCACCGGCUAACUACGUGCCAGCAGCCGCGGUAAUACGUAGGGUGCAAGCGUUAAUCGGAAUUACUGGGCGUAAAGCGUGCGCAGGCGGUUUUGUAAGUCUGUCGUGAAAGCCCCGGGCUCAACCUGGGAAUUGCGAUGGAGACUGCAAGGCUUGAAUCUGGCAGAGGGGGGUAGAAUUCCACGUGUAGCAGUGAAAUGCGUAGAGAUGUGGAGGAACACCGAUGGCGAAGGCAGCCCCCUGGGUCAAGAUUGACGCUCAUGCACGAAAGCGUGGGGAGCAAACAGGAUUAGAUACCCUGGUAGUCCACGCCCUAAACGAUGUCUACUAGUUGUACGGGUUUUAAUUAACUUGGUAACGCAGCUACGACGUGAGUAGACCGCCGUCGGGAGGUACGGUCGCGAGAAGUAAACGUAACAAUAGAAGUUAGUACGGCGUGAGACGUAGACCGAACGGACGACGACGAGGGAGGUUAGGG
rnacentral:rRNA from 1 species